rnacentral:rRNA from 1 species
UACGUAAGGUCCGAGCGUUGUCCGGAAUCAUUGGGCGUAAAGGGUACGUAGGCGGUUUAGAAGGUCAGAUGUUAAAGCGUGAGGCUCAACCUCAUAAAGCAUUUGAAACUUCUAGACUUGAGUAGUGGAGAGGAAAGUGGAAUUCCUAGUGUAGCGGUGAAAUGCGUAGAUAUUAGGAAGAAUACCAGUGGCGAAGGCGACUUUCUGGCCAUUAUCUGACGCUGAGGUACGAAAGCGUGGGUAGCAAACAGG